UACGGAGGGUGCAAGCGUUGUUCGGAAUUAUUGGGCGUAAAGCGCGUGUAGGCGGUUGUUUAAGUCUGAUGUGAAAGCCCAGGGCUCAACCCUGGAAGUGCAUUGGAAACUGGGCAACUUGAGUACGGGAGAGGAAAGUGGAAUUCCGAGUGUAGGGGUGAAAUCCGUAGAUAUUCGGAGGAACACCAGUGGCGAAGGCGGCUUUCUGGACCGAUACUGACGCUGAGGCGCGAAAGCGUGGGGAGCAAACAGG
rnacentral:rRNA from 1 species